rnacentral:rRNA from 1 species
AGCGAACGCUGGCGGCAGGCCUAACACAUGCAAGUCGAACGAACCUUUCGGGGUUAGUGGCGGACGGGUGAGUAACACGUGGGAACGUGCCUUUAGGUUCGGAAUAACUCAGGGAAACUUGUGCUAAUACCGAAUGUGCCCUUCGGGGGAAAGAUUAAUCGCCUUUAGAGCGGCCCGCGUCUGAUUAGCUAGUUGGUUGAGGUAAUGGCUCACCAAGGCGACGAUCAGUAGCUGGUCUGAGAGGAUGAUCAGCCACAUUGGGACUGAGACACGGCCCAAACUCCUCGGGGAGGCGGCAGGGGGGACUCUUGCGAAAGGGGCGAAAUCCUAACGAACCCUUGCCGGGUGAAUGUGGAGGUCUUUAGGAGUGAAAAUUUCUUUCACCGGGGACGAAAAUGACGGUACCGGGAAAAGAAGCCCCGCCUAACUUCGUC